rnacentral:rRNA from 1 species
CCUACGGGGUGCAGCAGUCGAGAAUCAUUCACAAUGGGGGAAACCCUGAUGGUGCGACGCCGCGUGGGGGAAUGAAGGUCUUCGGAUUGUAAACCCCUGUCAUGUGGGAGCAAAUUAAAAAGAUAGUACCACAAGAGGAAGAGCCGGCGAACUCUGUGCCAGCAGCCGCGGUAAUACAGAGGUCUCAAGCGUUGUUCGGAAUCACUGGGCGUAAAGCGUGCGGAGGCUGUGUCGUAAGUCGUGUGUGAAAGGCGCGGGCUCAACCCGCGGACGGCACAUGAUACUGCGAGACUAGAGUAAGGGAGGGGGAACCGGAAUUCGCGGUGUAGCAGUGAAAUGCGUAGAUAUCGAGAGGAACACUCGUGGCGAAGGCGGGUGCCUGGACAUUAACUGACGCUGAGGCACGAAGGCCAGGGGAGCGAAAGGGAUUAGAUACCCCAGUAGUC